AUUGAACGCUGGCGGCAUGCUUUACACAUGCAAGUCGAACGGUAACAGGCCGCAAGGUGCUGACGAGUGGCGAACGGGUGAGUAAUGCAUCGGAACGUGCCCAGUCGUGGGGGAUAACGCAGCGAAAGUUGCGCUAAUCCCGCAUACGAUCUAUGGAUGAAAGCGGGGGACCGUAAGGCUACGCGCGAUUGGAGCGGCCGAUGUCAGAUUAGGUAGUUGGUGGGGUAAAGGCUCACCAAGCCGACGAUCUGUAGCUGGUCUGAGAGGACGACCAGCCACACUGGGACUGAGACACGGCCCAGACUCCUACGGGAGGCAGCAGUGGGGAAUUUUGGACAAUGGGCGCAAGCCUGAUCCAGCAAUGCCGCGUGCAGGAAGAAGGCCUUCGGGUUGUAAACUGCUUUUGUACGGAACGAAACGGUCCUGGUUAAUACCCGGGGCUAAUGACGGUACCGUAAGAAUAAGCACCGGCUAACUACGUGCCAGCCGCCGCCGUAACAC
rnacentral:rRNA from 1 species